ensembl:lncRNA
AAAAGAGAGAGAUGAUGGAACACAUGCAGAGCAAACGGCUCACAGAGAGGCUACAAAACAACGGCAUCUACAGAUGGCUAAGCACCUCUUAAAUGCAGCACCACGCCAAAGUCGGGGAUUCUAUAGAGCAAAAGUUCCUGAGUGCAUCUUCGAGAACCAGUGCAAACUUGGACUUUUAUUUGGACUCCAAGAUCCCAGUCCCCUUUGGCCAGGUCCUUCACGCAGCGCCACUCAACACCAAUUAGCCUUCUUUUCUUCCAACACACGUGUCUUCUGAAAGAAAGUAGGUGAUGUGAGGAAGGCAACCGAGCGGAUCAUCGCAUUGUUUUCACAAACAUUUUCAUCUCCCUUUGUGGAGCUCCAUCACCCGAGGGACACAUGAAGAAGGCAGGGGCCCGUAAAAUGGCUGGGGGACCACCAGCACCUCCACUCACUCCGGCUGAGGAGCUGCCACUGUCCUUUAAUCAAGGGGGUCAGGGCAGUUCAUCAGAGUCAACUACCUCGCAUGAAUUGCCGAUGGACACGUCGUAUUAACGGACCGUCCUGCAACAGUGAUUAUCGUCUUCGGGUAUUGUUUCUGUUGGCUAGAUCAAACAUCAUUAGUAAUUUGCACUGCAGGAUGAAGAGGACGAGACCAUCUCUACUGUGACAGAGGUACAAAAUGAAGAUGCUGGGAGGCCCACAGAGGUUUAACAUAUAAUACAUUCCUUUUUUUCUUUCUUUUUUUUUUUUUUUUUUUUUUUAAAGAUGUGAUUAUUAAAACUGUUACUGUCCCCUUAAAGAUCAUGAUGAAGUUAGCUUUUGCUCUUAUGUUUGUUUUUAUUUUGCGGGCUAGUUUUUGCUUGUUAGUUUGCUAUUGUUUGAUUGGCUAGUUUUUGCUGAUAAGUUUGGUUUUGUUCAGCGAGUUAGAUUUUGGUGAUUACUUUGCUUUUGUUUGGUGAGAUUUACACUUACAUUUACAUUUAUUCACUUAGCAGACGCUUUAUCCAAAGCGACUUACAAA